GAGGAGUUAAUCUAAACCAAGACUAUUAAUUUCGACUUAAUAAAUUAUGACUAACUGUCAUAACCCCUCU
rnacentral:tRNA from 1 species